AGUCCACACAUCCAGCGCAACAUCCGCAUUUCUGCCACCUUCAUUUUUUGGAUGUGGGAGUUCUUAACUGGCCAACACUCCGCUCCAUACAGCAAGGCCGGACGGAGAUGUCUAUGAUGUUCUGCUUCCAAUGGUUGUUUUUCUGCUCUUUUAUUUCUGACAAAGAGAUGUCUAUGAUCUUCAUCAUGUGAUAUUAGGCAAGCUAUUCUUUGGAUUCGGCUAGUUUUAGUGGAAGUGGUUUAUAUUUGUUCUCACUAUAAAAGCUUUCUGGUAGUCCUCUAAUUAUGUUGUGAUGGCAGGGCUUUUGUUCUCUGUUCUGGUAACAGCUUUUAUCACAGAUGCUGUAAAAGAUGCAGUUGGACGGCCUAGGCCAGACUUCUUGUGGUGCUGUUUUCCAGAUGGAAAAGAAGUAUGAGUGUGAUUUCUGUCAUUGUUAUUUUAAACUUAUUAGAAAACACUACAUCGAACUGGAAAGUUGACAAAAGGAAAAGGCUUGCCUCUUGCACAGGUUUUGUGAUUUAGUAGAUGUAACUGGGGUUGCAGUUCAUGCAUGUCCUCUCAUCCUAGACACUGCUUAAAUCAGUUUAAGUUGAGAUUGAGGAUCUUGUUCAUGUCUAAUGCAGUAUAAUGUUUGGCGUUUGGCCAUUUGACGUGAAAUAGCUGUCAUGGAAAUCAUGCAUUUCAUAAUGGAGUCCCUUUCACAAUACUUACUGUCUUGUGUUCUAAUUUUAAAUGAAUCUUGCUAUUUCAAGGGAUAUACUUCUCUGAUCUUUUUGUUAAAUCCAAAAGUUAGCUUGCUGCUGCUGCUUCUCACUGCCUUUCGGCAGGAGAGAUUUGGCUCUCUAUUUCAAAUUUGUAGGUUUUACUCAUUUACUAUGUAAUACAUCAUCAAUAUUUGGUUUUCUAGUUUAAGAUGUACUUUAAGAAUUAUUAUUAAAGUGAGAUUCAUGAUAAUUCAUGGUCUUGGAUUUGGAUGAA